UACGUAGGGCGCAAGCGUUGUCCGGAAUUAUUGGGCGUAAAGAGCUCGUAGGCGGCCAGUUGCGUCCGCUGUGAAAUCCCGGGGCUUAACCCCGGGCGUGCAGUGGAUACGGGCUGGCUGGAGGCAGGCAGGGGAGAACGGAAUUCCUGGUGUAGCGGUGAAAUGCGCAGAUAUCAGGAGGAACACCGGUGGCGAAGGCGGGUCUCUGGGCAGUAACUGACGCUGAGGAGCGAAAGCGUGGGGAGCGAACAGG
rnacentral:rRNA from 1 species